AGGUGGGGUACUUGUGGGAUUGUCUCGGUGGUGGUGUUGAAGACNNNNNNNNNNNNNNNNNNNNNNNNNUUUUUUUUUUUGAGGUGGAGUCUCGCACUCUCACCCUGGCUGGAGUGCAAUGGUGCGAUCUUGGGUCACUGCAACCUCCACCUCCCGGGUUCACAUGAUUCUCUUGCCUCAGCCUCCCAAGUAGCUGGGAUUACAGGUGCACACCAUGACACCCGGCUAAUGUUUUGUAUUUUUAGUAGAGACGGGUUUUCACUAUGUUGGCCAGACUGGUCUCGAACUACUGAUUUUGUGAUCCACCUGCCUCGUCCUCCCAAAGUGUUGGGAUUACAGGCGUGAGCCACGGCACCCGGCCGGGGAGGGGAAUUGAAGGGUCUUCCCUGGAGCUGGGGUUGGGUGUCUGGGUCCCCUCAGAUCUGCAGGUUCGGACCUGAGCCCAGGGAUCCUUGGUGUUUCAGAUGCAGAAGAUUUUUGCAGACAUGCAGGGCUUCACCUUCAAGGGUGUGGAGAUCCUGUCCCUGAGGAAUGGCAGCAUCGUGGUGGACUACCUGGUCCUGCUGGAGAUGCCCUUCAGCCCCCAGCUGGAGAGCCAGUACGAGCAGGUGAAGACCACGCUGAAGGAGGGGCUGCAGAACGCCAGCCAGGAUGCGAACAGCUGCCAGGACUCCCAGACCCUGUGUUUUAAGCCUGACUCCGUCAAGGUGAACAACAACAGCAAGACAGAGCUGACCCCGGAAGCCAUCUGCCGCCGCGCCGCUCCCACGGGCUAUGAAGAGUUCUACUUCCCCUUGGUGGAGGCCACCCGGCUCCGCUGUGUCACCAAAUGCACGUCGGGCGUGGACAACGCCAUCGACUGUCACCAGGGCCAGUGCGUUCUGGAGACGAGCGGUCCCGCGUGCCGCUGCUACUCCACCGACACGCACUGGUUCUCUGGCCCGCGUUGCGAGGUGGCCGUCCACUGGAGGGCGCUGGUCGGGGGCCUGACGGCCGGCGCCGCGCUGCUGGUGCUGCUGCUGCUGGCGCUGGGCGUCCGGGCGGUGCGCUCCGGAUGGUGGUGCGGCCAGCGCCGAGGCCGGUGAGCGCGCGGGGGGCGGGGCCGGGGGGCGAGGGCGGCCAAGGGGGUCCCAGGCGGGCCGGCUCUGUCUGACCGCGCGGCGGCCCCACCUAGGUCCUGGGACCAGGACAGGAAAUGGUUCGAGACCUGGGAUGAGGAAGUCGUGGGCACUUUUUCAAACUGGGGUUUCGAGGACGAAGGAACAGGUGAGUCCUGCCUCCUGAGGAAGCAGGCCGGGGCUUUCUUGGGCACCACUGCGAGGACAGACGCCCUCCCUGCCUUCCUCGCAUUUACUCUGUCCCCCUCUCCCUUCUGUCCCCUCCCUCUCCCCUUCUCUUUCUCCCCUCCUCUUUCUCCCCUCCUCUCUCUCUAGACAAGGAUACAAAUUUCUAUGUGGCCUUGGAGAACGUGGACACCACUAUGAAGGUGAGGGGCUAAAGAGGGGGACCCCAAGGAACUCUCCCAGCCUCCAUUCCAGAAUCCCUCCCCGACCCCCACCAGGGCAGGGAGGGGGCUGGGCUCGGAUCAGCAGUGACCUCCCUGUCAGCCCAAACCAGUGGCUUCGCGUUCCCGUCCCUCACUGUGACUCUGACAGGUGCACAUCAAGAGACCCGAGAUGACCUCCUCCUCAGUGUGAGCCCUGCGGGGCCCCUUCACCACCCCCUCCGCCACCCCCUCCGCCCUGCCUCGGACACAAGGGUCUGCACUGCGUCCAUUUCAAGAGGUGGCCCCAGGACGCGGGCAGCCCAGGCUCCUGCUGUUCUUGGGGAAGAUGAGACUGUUUCCCCAAAUCCCAUCCUUCUCUUUCCAACUUGGCUGAAACCCACCUGGAGACGCAGUUCACGUCCAGGCUCUUCCACUGUGGAAUCGUGGGCAAGUCAGUAACGAGCCUCAGUUUCCUCACCUGCAAAACGGGUACAGCAUUCCUGUAUGAUAUCUCACGCCGUUGUUGUGUAAACCACAUAGACUUGGUCAAUUCUCGAUCCUACUCUGCCCUCCCGUCUCAGCCCUCGUGUUGCCAUUGCCUCUCUCGGAUCCUCCAAUCCUCACGUCCUUCACCUGGUCUCUGGCCCUGGUUCCUAUUUUCUCUCAAUUCCCUACUGCCUGUUUCUUACUCUGAACCUGGAGGCAGCCUGCAGCCCCAUCCCAUCUCCCGCCCUCUCCUGAUCUAACUCCCUGCUGCAUCUCUUGCUCUCAUUCCUUAGACGUCCUCCGCUUUUGACCCCGUUCCUUCAUCCAUCCUGCCCCCCAGUCCCCCAGCCCUAAAUCCUCCCUCCUCUCCUCACAUUCUAGUCCCUAGCAAGGUAUAGAUAGCCUCUGUGUCUUAGGAUACCCCAGGUGCUGUUCCCCCGGUCACCCUGUUGCCCAGUUCCCCGUUUCUCUUGCUCUCAUUCCUUGUAUCUUCUCCCCUUCUGAGCCCAUCCAUUCAUCAGUUCUGCCCCCACUCCCCCAGCCCUAAAUACCCCAGCUCCUAAUCCCCCCCUCACCCCGUUGCCCAAUUCCCCGUUUCUCUUGCUCUCAUUCCUUGUAUCUUCUCCCCUUCUGAGCCUGUCCAUUCAUUGGUGGUUCUGCCCCUACUCCCCCAGCCCUAAAUACCCCAGCUGCUGUUCCUCCCCAUCACCCAGCCACCGGAUUCUCCAUUCACCCCUUUCUCUCACCCCUGGAGCCCCGUGGGUGGGGGCAGGGCAUGAGUUCCCCAGUCCCCAAGGAAAGGCAGCCCCCUCAGUCUCCCUCCUCCUCAUUCCCUUCCAUCUCCCUCCCCUCUGCCUUUUAAACCCAUCCCCUCCGAUUCCCCUCCUCCCCGCUCUCUCCCGAGUCGCAGGUGUCAACUCGAUUCCUGCGGCACCUCUGAGCCCUGAAAUCCUCAGUCUCCUUGGCGGGGAAGAUCGGCUUUGGGAACAGGAAGUCGGCACAUCUCCAGGUCUCCAUGUGCACAAUAUACAGUUUAUUGUAAAAAGCAGCAGCUCUCUGUUUCCUUUUUACCCCCUCAGUGGUCUCCACUUGGUUGGAGAACAGGGAUUUCCAGAGGCGGUGUUGUAGGAGGAUCCUGGGAGCACCCGUGUCUCCCAGGGAGGAAGGAGGAAGGUCUGUGGGCAGCCCUUGGGGGCCAUGACAUUCCUCAUAGAAAACACAGAGGUUGGGGGGGAACCCAUUUUGUUGGAAAGUGACUCGGGGCAGGGGCCCCUUGGGCUUUGUCAUCUGUGCUCUCCACACCCCCACCACUGCCCUGACCUUGACACUGGGGGCUUAGGGAGCAAUUAGACCCCUGGUGUUGGGUCAGGGAGUUGGGUGGUCCAGGGGCUAGGGCUGCCUGGUCCAGCCACCUUUUGCAAGGAUGGGUAAAGCUGAGCCUCCCCAAAGAUCUUGAUCCCCCGACAAGGCCCCCAAACCCUGAUAGCAAACUCACACAGCAGAGCCUGUCUAUGCUGGCGCCGGGCCCUUCUGUUCCUGCUGUUGUGGGCAGUCAGGCCUGCCUGAGGAGUCGAGGGUGAUCAGAAAUAACGUGUCCCCUUGGGUCUUUUGGUGUGGGCUUGGGAGAGGCCCCUGUGAUCUUUGCCCUGGGCAGGGAUGAGCCAUGGCAUUUCGUCACCUCUGUGUCCGGCCAGGGGUGGGGACCAGGACCAUAAAGUCUGAGGUGUGAGUGGGCACCCCGCCCAGGAAAAGGGCUGGAAACUGGGGACCCCAGGGAAAGCCCUGGACAUUUGGAAAGGACCAUGUUGAGGCGGGGGAUGGGGAGGGAUGGCUGGAAGAGAGAGGGGCUUCUCGGGGGUGGGAGUGGAGGGUCCUUCGCUUGGUCUGGCCUGUUGCCAGCUGCCCCUUCCACCGUUGUGAACUUCUCCCUCCAUGGUCACCUGCUCCCCGGCGCUUCUUGGCCCCCACCUCUUGUCACCAGUGGUGUGCUCACACCUCUAGCCUCCGUCCCUCCCUCCUGCACUGCCCCACCCCCAGUGGCUCUGACUUCCGCUGAAAGAGAGGGACCCUGGCUGAGGGCGGUCACUGCUCCAGGACUUAUAAGGGAGGAGGGUGGACAGGCUGCGCUUUGUCCAACUCCCCGUGGUCACCACGUGCCACCGACCCAACAGCAUCACCUCACCUCUACCCUGGGAUAGGCACUGUCCAGGCACUUUGCCCUGCUUCAAGGCAAAGUUCUCUGGGGUCCUUUUUAUAGCUGAUCCCUUCCUGGGAAGCUUUCAUUUCUUGGUCCCUCCUGACGAGGGAAGACGGGCAGCCAGGGGCCCGUUCCCUGGGAGAUGCUGGUGAUCUGGAUUCUGACGCUGGCUCUCCGGCUCUGUGCGUCCGUUACUACAGCGACACCGGGUGAGUGCUCCUGGGCUGAUGCUCCAGGUCCAGUGCUCCUGGGUGGUCAUAGUACACGCCCCUGCCUCAGGCAGCAGGGCUGCAGGUGGCCUCCUCCCCUUUGCAUGGCAAGGGGCUGCCACAGGGCUGGAGACCCAUGCUGUGACCUCAUCUUGCUUUGGGGGUGCUGAAGAGGUCACUUUGGAGACCUGUGGGUGCCUGUGGUUGUGCAGGGGAUGGUCUGCACACAGCUCCUGGCUGAAGGGCAGCUGAAAUCCACAGCUUCUGCUCUCCAGGCUCCCCCCGGGAGGAUGAAGGUGCUUUUGUCACAUAGACAGUGGUCUCUGCCUGCCCUCAUCCUGGGGGCUUUAUCUGCUGGAGGGAUGGGUCUUUCCAAACCUCACGGAGGCACUGCACAUGCUGCUAGCCCUGGUCGGUAGAGAGGGAGUCCAGAGGGGUGUGUGACAGUAUCAUCUCUUGACUUGGAGUAGCCUCAGGUGCACCCGGGGAAUCCCCACCAGUUAAAUGGCUGACGGGGCCAGGCGUGGUGGCUCAUGCUUGUAAUCCCAGCACUUUGGGAGGCCAAGGUGGGUGGAUCACCUGAGGUUGGGAGUUCAAGUCCAGCCUGGCUAACAUGGUGAAACCCCGUCUCUACUAAAAAUACAAAAAUUAACCAGGCAUGGUGGCGCGCACCUCUAAUCCCAGCUACUUGGGAGGCUGAGGCAGGAGAAUCACUGGAACCUGGGAGGUGGAGUCUGCAGUCAGGCAAGAUUGUGCCACUGCACUCCAGCCUGAGCGAUAAGAGCAAAACACUGUCAAAAAAAAAAAAGAGAGAGAGAGAAAGAAAGAGAAAGAAGGAAAGAAGGAAAGAAAGAAAGAAAGAAAGAAAGAGAAAAAAGAAAAAAUGGCUGCCAGUUGCAGUGGCUCGCCUGCAAUCCUAGCACUUUGGGAUGCCAAGGCAGGCAGAUCACGAGGUCAGGAAAUUGAGACCAUCCUGGCCAACAUGGUGAAACCCCAACUCCACCAAAAAUAUAAAAAUUAGCUAGGCAUGGUGGCACAUGCCUGUAGUCCCAGCUACUCAGGAGGCUGAGGCAGGAGAAUCACUUGAACCCUGGAGGCAGAGGUUGCAGUGAGCCGAGAUUGCAUUGCUGCACUCCAGCCUGGCAACAGAGCGAGACUCUCUCAAAAAAACACAAACAAACAAAAAAAGAAACAACAACAACAAAAAACAAACCGUGGCUGAGGGGCUGUAGGAGGAGACAGGGGCUCGGGGGUCCUUGCUCAGCCUGGUCAUGGCUGUGUCUGAGAGAUGACUCUGACCCGCUGAUUUCCCUCAUACAGAACAGACUUUCUGAUUCCUUUCUGGCAGGGGUGGACAGGGAUGAGGAGAGGCGAGAGAGGGAGACCUUGAGUUGAAGGCUGUGGGGUGGGCAGAAGGGGUGGUG
rnacentral:lncRNA from 1 species